UCUGGAACCUUAUCCACUCUCCUGCCUCUUUUUCUCCAAGCGCACCUCCCCGGCUCCCCCCUCCGUACCUCUUCUUCCUCUCUCCUGCUGCUCACCCCGCGCCCCCGUGCAGACGAAAUCCUCCUCCCCUCGAGCCCCGCCUCGUUCCUCUUCUCUCCUGCUCCUCACCCUGGCCCCCCCUCCCCUCCUCCAUGAGGCUAGAUCUCGAGCACCAGCGGCGGCGGGUUGGUCUGCUUGUCGCGGCGCCCCCGAGAGCUCGAGCGCCGCAGGCUCUCAGUCCGGCCACGCGCCGCCGGAUCUGCGGCACGGAUACGCUGGUUCCCCCUCCUUCCUCCUCUCUCUCUCCAGCCCUUUCCCCACCCCCCGCGCUGAGAGCUCGAACGCCGCUGCUGAGGGGCAUGGUCCGCUCGUCGGUGCAGCCGCGGUGGAAGCAGCAGGGGCUGCCACUAUAGCAAUGGCCAGUCUCCACCAGCGGGAGCGCUGGCUCCCCUUCCAGCCACAGCGAGCAGCACGGCCCUGCCUUCACCGGCGUAGGGCGACCUCUGAAGCGGCGGCGGCAAUGGCAUCCAUGCCCGCCACUGAGCGCACCUUGCUCCGUCUCAACAACCUCGACAUCAACGACGACAACGGGCCUUCGUCGCAGGCUGCUGUGAGGCGGGCCAGUUGCCGGUGUUCUUCAGAGCUGGGUUGCCUUUGAGGUCCAUGGUGCCGUCUUGGGUGUACAUCUAUGCUCCUUCCAGUGCCACCUCCCCCAUGGUUCUGGACCUGAACUGCCUGCUCUUCUCUUAAUCUUCUUGUUGCUUCGGGCAGAGAUUCAGAGUAAUUGCAGCUGCUUCCUGCCAAGUUAUUUAUUUACACCGAAAAAGAUGGAAUUUUAAUCGGAAUUGCAAGAUACUACUCACUGUACUGCACAAGAAGAUCAUGAUAAUCUACGCAAGAACUGGGAUUUAAUUUGAGACGAGGCUGAAUGAAAUGGACCAGAGCAAGAACAUGUAUAGUUACUUUUGAUAGUUAAUUAAGGAGAUGAUGAUUUGAUUUUCUAAAUAAAACGCUGCAGGGUUGAUCCAAUACUGCUAGAAUUAUGUUUCUUUUAGCUGUUUAAUAUUUAUGUUGUAUGUA